rnacentral:rRNA from 1 species
UACGUAGGGUGCGAGCGUUGUCCGGAAUUAUUGGGCGUAAAGAGCUCGUAGGCGGCUUGUCGCGUCGACUGUGAAAUCCCGCGGCUCAACCGCGGGUCUGCAGUCGAUACGGGCAGGCUAGAGUUCGGUAGGGGAGACUGGAAUUCCUGGUGUAGCGGUGAAAUGCGCAGAUAUCAGGAGGAACACCGAUGGCGAAGGCAGGUCUCUGGGCCGAUACUGACGCUGAGGAGCGAAAGCGUGGGGAGCGAGCAGG